rnacentral:lncRNA from 10 species
GAACAGGACUGGCUCCAUGUGGCUUAUUACAGAUCAAAAUCAAAGCAGGCCGAGUACUUGCAAGUGUACUACAGAGAAGCAAAAAAGCAGAGAAGUGAAAACACAGAGGAGAACUGAAGGCAUCAGAACAGUCCGAGCACUGAGAAGCAGCAGGUUGCAGCAAACCCUGCGGCGCAGGCGCACGAGGGACGAUGGGAAGUCCACGGCAUUAUUAUUGCCGGAUGAGGAAGGGAGGCAAUGGAGGUACCAGCAGAUUUAAAUAGACAUAUGAUAAAAAUAAUGGAUAUUCCCCAGUGUUGCCAUUGGGAAUAUAGAAGGGGGCAGAGUUGAGGUGGGUAACAACCAACCUCCGUUCCUUCUGGUAACACCGUUUUCCAUUGCUCAG